GGAAGAAUGUUGCAGAUGGAAUUCCAUUAGGUCUUCCAAAGAGGUGAAGAAUGUCAUUGUUCAAACUGGGACAUCCUCUGUGUGAUGGAGCAACUGGGGACUGAAGACGCAAACAACUUUGGGGAAGAAUAAAGGCAUCUAACAACUUUGGUUUCCGUGCCCGAGGGGGCAUUGCCAGCACUUGUUUACCAACUGCCCAAACUCUGGGUGCUGUCUGGGAGCUGGCUAAUCAAGCCGUCCAUCUUCAGAUCUCACUGUGACAGCUGGCUCAACGCCAUCCACAUUUUGUCACCUCCUCCUUGGAUUGGAGCUCAGAGCUUGACCCUUUGAAUCAAGAAGACACAGUCCGUGACUUCCAGAGCCUUUCAAGUCCGCAGUGCAGUGGUUUCCAGCCUUGCUGCUAACACACUCUGGUGGAUCCAAUUAAUUGUGAAAUGUGUCAUCAGCAAUUUGCCACUCAUAAUAAAGUACC